rnacentral:rRNA from 1 species
CCUACGGGGGGCUGCAGUGAGGAAUAUUGGUCAAUGGUCGGGAGACUGAACCAGCCAAGUCGCGUGAGGGAUGAAGGUACAGAGUAUCGUAAACCUCUUUUGUCAGGGAACAAAGGCGGGGACGUGUCCCCGGUUGAGUGUACCUGAAGAAAAAGCAUCGGCUAACUCCGUGCCAGCAGCCGCGGUAAUACGGAGGAUGCGAGCGUUAUCCGGAUUUAUUGGGUUUAAAGGGUGCGCAGGGGGACUGUUAAGGCAGCGGUAAAAGCGAGGGGCUAAACCCCGUCCCGCCGUUGAAACUGGCAGUCUCGAGUUGGAGAGAGGUAUGCGGAAUGCGCGGUGUAGCGGUGAAAUGCAUAGAUAUCGCGCAGAACUCCGAUUGCGAAGGCAGCAUGCCGGCUCCACACUGACGCUGAGGCACGAAAGCGUGGGUAUCGAACAGGAUUAGAUACCCCAGUAGUC